GGGUAAUGGCCCACCUAGGCGACGAUCCCUAGCUGGUCUGAGAGGAUGACCAGCCACACURGAACUGAGACACGGUCCAGACUCCUACGGGAGGCAGCAGUGGGGAAUAUUGCACAAUGGGCGCAAGCCUGAUGCAGCCAUGCCGCGUGUAUGAAGAAGGCCUUCGGGUUGUAAAGUACUUUCAGCGGKGAGGAAGGCGAUGCGGUUAAUAACCGYGUCGAUUGACGUUACCCGCAGAAGAAGCACCGGCUAACUCCGUGCCAGCAGCCGCGGUAAUACGGAGGGUGCAAGCGUUAAUCGGAAUUACUGGGCGUAAAGCGCACGCAGGCGGUCUGUUAAGUCAGAUGUGAAAUCCCCGGGCUUAACCUGGGAACUGCAUUUKAAACUGGCAGGCUUGAGUCUUGUAGAGGGGGGUAGAAUUCCAGGUGUAGCGGUGAAAUGCGUAGAGAUCUGGAGGAAUACCGGUGGCGAAGGCGGCCCCCUGGACAAAGACUGACGCUCAGGUGCGAAAGCGUGGGGAGCAAACAGGAUUA
rnacentral:rRNA from 1 species